GAUAACAUAAGCUUUUGGCAUCAUUAGCUUAUCAAGAAUUUCGGAUAGGGAUGGGCCCGCGUCUGAUUAGCUAGUUGGUGAGGUAACGGCUCACCAAGGCAACGAUCAGUAGCCGACCUGAGAGGGUGAUCGGCCACACUGGAACUGAGACACGGUCCAGACUCCUACGGGAGGCAGCAGUGGGGAAUAUUGCACAAUGGGCGAAAGCCUGAUGCAGCAACGCCGCGUGAGCGAUGAAGGCCUUCGGGUCGUAAAAGCUCUGUCCUAUGGGAAGAUAAUGACGGUACCAUAGGAGGAAGCCCCGGCUAACUACGUGCCAGCAGCCGCGGUAAUACGUAGGGGGCAAGCGUUAUCCGGAAUUACUGGGCGUAAAGGGUGCGUAGGCGGUUUAUCAAGUCAGGGGUGAAAGGCUACGGCUCAACCGUAGUGAGCCUCUGAAACUGGUGAACUUGAGUGUAGGAGAGGAAAGUGGAAUUCCCAGUGUAGCGGUGAAAUGCGUAGAUAUUGGG
rnacentral:rRNA from 1 species